UUAAGUUAAUAAGGGCGCACGGUGGAUGCCUUGGCACUAGGAGCCGACGAAGGACGUGACAAACGACGAUAUGCCUUGGGUAGCUGUAAGUAAGCGAUGAUCCAGGGAUUUCCGAAUGGGGGAACCCAACAGGUAAUACCUGUUACCCACAUCUGUUAAGGAUGUGAGGAGGAAGACGCAGUGAACUGAAACAUCUAAGUAGCUGCAGGAAGAGAAAGCAAAAGCGAUUGCCUUAGUAGCGGCGAGCGAAACGGCAGAAGGGCAAACCGAAGAGUUUACUCUUCGGGGUUGUAGGACUGCAAUGUGGACUCAAAGAUUAUAGAAGAAUGAUUUGGGAAGAUCAGCCAAAGAGAGUAAUAGCCUCGUAUUUAAAAUAGUCUUUGUACUUAGCAGUAUCCUGAGUACGGCGGGACACGUGAAAUCCCGUCGGAAUCUGGGAGGACCAUCUCCCAACCCUAAAUACUCCCUAGUGACCGAUAGUGAACCAGUACCGUGAGGGAAAGGUGAAAAGCACCCCGGGAGGGGAGUGAAAUAGAACCUGAAACCGUGCGCCUACAACAAGUUCGAGCCCGUUAAUGGGUGAGAGCGUGCCUUUUGUAGAAUGAACCGGCGAGUUACGUUAUGAUGCGAGGUUAAGUUGAAGAGACGGAGCCGUAGGGAAACCGAGUCUGAAUAGGGCGCCUUAGUAUCAUGACGUAGACCCGAAACCAUGUGACCUACCCAUGAGCAGGUUGAAGGUGCGGUAAGACGCACUGGAGGACCGAACCAGGGCACGUUGAAAAGUGCUUGGAUGACUUGUGGGUAGCGGAGAAAUUCCAAACGAACUUGGAGAUAGCUGGUUCUCUCCGAAAUAGCUUUAGGGCUAGCGUCGACAUUAGAGAUUCUUGGAGGUAGAGCACUGUUUGGGUGAGGGGUCCAUCCCGGAUUACCAAUCUCAGAUAAACUCCGAAUGCCAAUGAAUUAUGGUCGGCAGUCAGACUGCGAGUGCUAAGAUCCGUAGUCGAAAGGGAAACAGCCCAGACCACCAGCUAAGGUCCCAAAAUAAUUGUUAAGUGGAAAAGGAUGUGGGGUUGCACAGACAACUAGGAUGUUAGCUUAGAAGCAGCUAUUCAUUCAAAGAGUGCGUAAUAGCUCACUAGUCGAGUGACCCUGCGCCGAAAAUGUACCGGGGCUAAAACAAUUUACCGAAGCUGUGGAUACCUUUAUAGGUAUGGUAGGAGAGCGUUCUAUGUGUGAUGAAGGUAUACCGUGAGGAGUGCUGGAACGCAUAGAAGUGAGAAUACCGGUAUGAGUAGCGAAAGACAGGUGAGAAUCCUGUCCACCGUAAGACUAAGGUUUCCAGGGGAAGGCUCGUCCGCCCUGGGUUAGUCGGGACCUAAGGAGAGACCGAAAGGUGUAUCCGAUGGACAACAGGUUGAUAUUCCUGUACUAGAGUAUGUAGUGAUGGAGGGACGCAGUAGGCUAACUAAAGCAGACGAUUGGAAGAGUCUGUCUAAGCAGUGAGGUGUGAAUUGAGUCAAAUGCUUAAUUCUAUAACAUUGAGCUGUGAUGGGGAGCGAAGUUUAGUAGCGAAGUUAGUGACGUCACACUGCCAAGAAAAGCUUCUAGCGUUUAAACAUACUCUACCCGUACCGCAAACCGACACAGGUAGUCGAGGCGAGUAGCCUCAGGUGAGCGAGAGAACUCUCGUUAAGGAACUCGGCAAAAUGACCCCGUAACUUCGGGAGAAGGGGUGCUGACUUAAAGUCAGCCGCAGUGAAUAGGCCCAAGCAACUGUUUAUCAAAAACACAGCUCUCUGCUAAAUCGUAAGAUGAUGUAUAGGGGGUGACGCCUGCCCGGUGCUGGAAGGUUAAGAGGAGUGCUUAGCGUAAGCGAAGGUAUGAAUUGAAGCCCCAGUAAACGGCGGCCGUAACUAUAACGGUCCUAAGGUAGCGAAAUUCCUUGUCGGGUAAGUUCCGACCCGCACGAAAGGCGUAAUGAUUUGGGCACUGUCUCAACGAGAGACUCGGUGAAAUUUUAGUACCUGUGAAGAUGCAGGUUACCCGCGACAGGACGGAAAGACCCCAUGGAGCUUUACUGCAGUUUGAUAUUGAGUGUCUGUACCACAUGUACAGGAUAGGUAGGAGUCUAAGAGAUCGGGACGCCAGUUUCGAAGGAGACGCUGUUGGGAUACUACCCUUGUGUUAUGGCCACUCUAACCCAGAUAGGUGAUCCCUAUCGGAGACAGUGUCUGACGGGCAGUUUGACUGGGGCGGUCGCCUCCUAAAAGG
rnacentral:rRNA from 1 species